rnacentral:ncRNA from 1 species
ACAUAGUUGCGAAGACUCCUAGGGUAGAGCAGUGCCAGUCGAAGACUACAGGCUGAGACGGCAUCCCAGGAACGCGAAGUAGCUUAUGU